rnacentral:rRNA from 1 species
AGCAGUAGCCGCGGUAAUACGUAGGGGGCAAGCGUUAUCCGGAAUUACUGGGUGUAAAGGGAGCGUAGACGGUUAAACAAGUCUGAAGUGAAAUGCCGGGGCUCAACCCCGGAGCUGCUUUGGGAACUGUAGAACUGGAGUGUCGGAGGGGUAAGCGGAAUUCCCAGUGUAGCGGUGAAAUGCGUAGAUAUUGGGAGGAACACCGGCGGCGAAGGCGGCUUACUGGACGACAACUGACGUCGAGGCUCGAAGGCGUGGGUAGCAAACAGGAUUAGAUACCCCCGUAGUCCCUGUCUCUUAUAC